rnacentral:rRNA from 1 species
GUGGGGAAUAUUGGACAAUGGGCGAAAGCCUGAUCCAGCCAUGCCGCGUGUGUGAAGAAGGUCUUCGGAUUGUAAAGCACUUUAAGUUGGGAGGAAGGGUAGUAACCUAAUACGUUGCUACUUUGACGUUACCGACAGAAUAAGCACCGGCUAACUUCGUGCCAGCAGCCGCGGUAAUACGAAGGGUGCAAGCGUUAAUCGGAAUUACUGGGCGUAAAGCGCGCGUAGGUGGUUCAGUAAGUUGGAAGUGAAAUCCCCGGGCUCAACCUGGGAACUGCUUUCAAAACUGCUGAGCUAGAGUACGGUAGAGGGUAGUGGAAUUUCCUGUGUAGCGGUGAAAUGCGUAGAUAUAGGAAGGAACACCAGUGGCGAAGGCGACUACCUGGACUGAUACUGACACUGAGGUGCGAAAGCGUGGGGAGCAAACAGGAUUAGAUACCCUUGUAGUCC